ensembl:lncRNA
GGGUUUCCUGUUUGUAGCUUUGGAGGUAAAGAGUCUUAGUAGAGGCCAGUCUGAAUCACUGACCUAAGAGGAGCCGCUCGCUCUCAAGAACUAACGUGAAGGGAGCCUCGCUCUGGGCCAACCCGGCCCUUCAGAAGAAGAACUUUUACAGCACGUUGGCUGUGGGCCAGGGACUCUCCUCAGCAGAGAUGAAGAUGACCGGGGCCCUCAGGGAACACUCUAUCUGGCAGUGGCAAUUAGACGUGCCCCAAAAGUAAUUAUGAAACCCGUGCUAAGCACUCGACGCACGGCACAGGGCUUCCCUGGAACGCAGAGGAAACAGCAGAGUCUGCAUCUGUGGUCUUCAUGGAGGAAGUCAGAUUUGAACUGGCUUUUGAGCGGCAGAGAGGUGUUUUCAUUUGUUGUCUUUUUCUUGCUUUUACAAGCUGGGAUGAGGGGAAGGGCAUUCCAAGCGGGGAAUAGCCCCAUGAGCAAAGGCCCAGAGUCUAGUGUCUUCAGUGAACUUCAGCCCCAUCCUGUGGCCUCCAGUUGUGUGAUACUAUCAGAUGGCCCCUUGCUGCUGGAGUGGAUGUUCUUGGCAAUGAAAAGAAGAAGUGGGGGCAAAGGUGAAGUAUGGGGCCUAGAUGCUUCUAGCAGUUUAGAUGAUGACUUCUCAGGAACUUGUUGUUAACUGCUCUGCACCCCCUGCGUUGAUUAGAUUCUGGUUCUCUGGGGCCAGUUUCUUCAUGCUGUCUGGAGCCCCAGCUUCGCACCUGGCUGACUCACCUUUUGCACUGAGUUCAGCACUGGAGAUGGAGAGGGGGUGGGGAGGAGAGGAGAAAUUUUAGUGCUGUAUGAAUUCAGUUGGAAAAAUAAUCAUACAGGAUUUAAGCAAAUCUCAUAUUGCCCCUGGAAUGGUUUUAGGUUUUUUUAUAAAACCCAACCAGCGUCAGCUGAUGCCCCAUCUCUUCAAGGUCAAACAUUCCAAGAUUCUAGAGCAAAGCUGUGUUCCCAGAUUUGUCUAGAAGCCCUUUCUCCCCCCUCACCUUAACUGACGCCUGGAUGGUCCCCAUGAGGGAUUUCUUUUGCAGCCUCUCCCAAGCCUCCCAUUUGGAGAGUGGGGCUGCCCAGUUCCUUCUCUCCUGGUGUCACUUUGAGAUUACUGCUCAGAGGAACUUAUUCUUUUCUCAAGAGACUGUUUUCUUUUAAAGUUCACAAUGUUCAUUUUUUUCUUUGUUUGCUGCAAGGAGAACUCUGAUUCUGACUGAAAUUCUGCCAAUUAGAAAGAUUGUUUUCCAAUCGUCUUGAAAUUUUUCAGAGUUGCUCAAAGUGUUGGGAAAAUUGGAUGCCAGAAUUUGUAGAUCCCUGGCCAACCAAGAGACAUGGGCAGAAGGUGACCUGGUCUUCAGAGCUCUCACAAGAUCUCUGAGAGAGACUGGUUCAUCUGAAUUGAUGCCUUUAGCCAUAGUUAAUUCAUUUUUGCUGCUGAAUAGUAUUCCGUUAUAUGACUAUGCCACACUUUUUUUACCAUCCCCUGCCUGUGUGCAUUUGGCUAUUUCCCAUUAUGCUAUUGAUAGUAAUGCUGCUGUAAAUAUUCUUGGCCAUGUUUCCUGGGCACGUGGACGAGAUUUUCUCCUGGGUCACAGUAUUUCCUUUUACCAUUUUCUCUAUAUUCUCAUCUUCUCUGCUAGGAUUCUCUCCUUCUUCAGUGAUGUCAUUUCUGGUUAUUGUCCUCAGAGACUCUGCUGCACACACCGAUGGUAUAAACGUAAACAAGCCACAGUGCCUUUCUUUGGUCCGCUCCAGGGUGGCGGAAUAACUGAUCACAGCAGUCACGUUGUGACCCACUUGAAACCCCAGCGCUGGAUUCUUGGAGCCUCUGUGGAAGAUGCCCUCUCAGAGCUCACCAGUGACCUCCCAAGGAUCAAGGCUGAAGGCUGUGUCAUUGUCCUUCCUCACCUGGCUGCACCCCUGCCGUCUGAAACUCCUUCUUUGGUUUGCACAGCAUGCCACUGCCCCGAUCGUCCUCCCGACCCGUUCCUCGUCUGCCUUAUACUUCUUGUCUGUGUACGUUCCUUAGGUUCUACCUCGGAGAAAUCAUCCAUUCCUUCCAUUUUAGCCAAGACACAACCAUCUAACCCAGGAAAUUAACAUUAGUACCAUUUAACUCUCAGACCCUGUUUGAAUUUUACUUAUUGUCUGAGUAACGUCUUUUACAGCAACAGGACCUAACCUAGGAUCAGUCAUGUCUCAGUCUCCUUCAGUCUGGAUUUGUUCCUCAGUCUUUCCUUGACUUCAUGAUCUUGAUGGUUUUGAAGACACAAGUCCAAUUAUUUUGUCAAAUGUCCCUCAGUUUUGGUUUACUGAUGUUUCCUCAUUAGAUUUAAGUUAUACAUCUUUGCUAGGAGUAUUCCAGAGGUGAUGCUGCUACAUCCUCAUUAGAUUUAAGUUAUACGUCUUUGCUAGGAGUAUUCCAGAAGUGAUGCUGCAUUCCUUUCAUUGCACUACUAAAAGGCGUAGGAUUCAAAUGUAUCCCAUUACUGAUGACAUUAAUUUUGAUCGCUGGAUUAAGAUUGUAUCUCUCAGCCUUUUCCACUGUGAAAUUACUUCUCUCCUCUUUGUAGGUAAUGAAGUAAUUAAUGAAUAUAUAUGGGAAGCUGCUUUGAGACUCUGUAAAUAUCCUGUUAAUCAUCAAACUUUCAAUUUACUCUUUAUUUAUGUCAGUAUGAACUCAUGAAUUGCUAUUUAUUCAAUGGAUUUUAAUCUAUUGUUAUUUAUUAUCAUCGUUUAUUUUGGUACUGAAUUGUCAAGCUGGCUUUAGAGUCCUUUUGACAUGUUCUGUCGUUCUUUGAAAACUGCCUUAUUUUCUGGCACAAAAAGUUGUUUCAGGCUCACCUUUUACUUUUUCUAUUCGGUCUUAGAAUUAGCCAUUUUUUUUUAAGGAAUGCGGUAUUCUUUUAGUGAAAAAUGGUAUUUAGAACCCAAAAUCUGGGUUCUUGAUGAGUUUACUGCUGUUGGGGUGUUAUUGCUCCCACCCUCUCUCAGAGGGAAGAGCUAGGGAAUACACACAUUUACAUCUCUAUUUCUCUCUAUAUUGAUAACUAUGAGUUCACAUUUAUAUCUCUAAUUCAAAUCCAUAGGGUUUACUCUAGUUUUCUCCCUUUCCAUUUUCGUAACUGUGAUGGUUAAUUUUAUGUGUCAGUCUGACUGGGCUACGGGGCCCCCAGAUACUUGGUUAAACAUUAUACCGGUGUGUCUGUGAGGGUGUUUCUGGAUGAGAUAAACAUUUGAAUUAAGUUUAGUAAAGCUGAUUGCCCUCCCCAGUGUGUGUGGGCCUCAUCCAACCCACUGAAGUCCUGAAUAGAACAAAAAGGCUGAGUAAGAACGAAUUCACUCUCUGCCUGACUGUCUUCGAGCUGGGACAUUGGUCUUCACCUGCCUUCGGACUUGGACUUGGACUUGGACUCAGGCUGACAGGUACACCAUUAGCUCUCCUAGUUCUCAGGCCUUUGGACUGGAGCUACACCAUUGGCUCUUCUGGGUCUCCAGUUUGCCAACAGCAGAUCUGGGGACUUCUCAGCCUCCAUAACCACCGUGUGGCACAUACUAGACACUCAGCAAGAUUUGCUGAAUGAAGUGGAAGGAGGCAAAGCUGGGAAACGGCAGAGGCAGGACUCGAAGUCAGGACUUCUUACUCCUAGUCCCGUGUGCUCUCACUGACCUUCCCCCAAAGCCGCAAGCACAUUGAGUCAGUUGUGCAGGUUGUCAUCUACUGUCUCGUGGCCGUGGACUGACCCUGAGAGUGAGAUUUAUUGCCUGGUAUUAGAAAAGCUUUAGAUUCCAGCUCCUCUCAAAGGAGUUGUGCAAAGAAGGGACUAAAG